AUGGCGAUCUCACUCACCUCGCUGCUCCUCUCCCUGCCCCAGCAAUGGCAGCCCCUGCUCCUAGCACUUGUCACUGUCCUUUCCCUGCUGCUGUUGACCAGGAGAAAAGGGCUGAAGCUGAAGCUGCCACCAGGCCCCGCGACGGUGCCCCUCCUGGGCAACCUGCACCAGCUCGGCCCGCUGCCGCACCGGACCCUGCGAGACCUGGCGGAGGUCCACGGGCCGGUGAUGCAGCUGCAGCUCGGCAAGGCGCCGACGGUGGUGCUGUCGUCGGCGCAGGCGGCGUGGGAGGCGCUCAAGACUCACGACCUCGACUGCUGCACGCGGCCCGUGUCCGCGGGGACGAGGCGGCUGACCUAUGACCUCAAGAAUGUGGCGUUCGCGCCCUACGGCGCCUACUGGCGCGAGGUGCGCAAGCUCCUCACCGUCGAGCUCCUCAGCGCGCAACGCGUUAAGGCUGCAUGGUACGCACGCCAUGAGCAGGUGGAGAAACUCAUAAGCACCCUCAACCGUGCGGAAGGAAAGCCGGUGGCCUUGGAUGAGCACAUCUUGAGCCUCUCCGACGGUAUCAUCGGCACAGUGGCGUUUGGCAAUAUCUAUGGAGGCGAUAAGUUCUCCCAAAAUAACAAUUUUCAGGAUGCACUCGACGAUGUUAUGGAGAUGCUAUCUAGCUCUGGCUCCUCCGCUGAAGACUUGUUCCCAAUAGCUGUCGGCCGUCUCGUCGAUCGCCUUACCGGCUUCAUCGCCCGGCGUGAGCGGAUCUUCUUGCAGCUCGAUGCCUUCUUCGAGAUGGUCAUCGAGCAACACCUGGACCCUAACCGCGUGUUGCCUGAAAAUGGCGGCGACCUCAUUGAUGUCCUCAUCGAUCUUUGGAAGAGGCCGCGUGGUACAUUCAUCUUCACGAAGGACCACGUCAAGGCCAUAAUAUUUUCAACUUUCGUUGCUGGCAUUGACACAAAUGCAACGACCAUUGUGUGGGCAAUGUCAGAGCUAGUGCGGAAGCCACCCGUGCUGAAGAAGGUGCAGGACAGUAUCAGGGAUGUGGUGGGAGAGAACAAAAGUGUGCAAUCAGAUGACAUUUCAAAACUCAGCUACCUCAGGAUGGUGGUGAAGGAGACCCUACGGCUGCACCCGCCGGGACCACUGCUAUUGCCGAGGGAGACCAUGCGACACAUACAAAUUGGUGGGUAUGACGUGCCAGCCAAGACAAAGAUCUACGUGAAUGCAUGGGCAAUUGGCAGAAACCCGGUAAGCUGGCCUGACAACCCAGAGGAGUUCAACCCUGAUAGGUUUGAAGCAAAUGAGAUAGACUUCAAGGGCGAGCAUCCUGAGCUGAUGCCAUUCGGCACGGGGCGCCGGAUAUGCCCAGGCAUGUCCAUGGCUGUGGCCACCAUCGAGUUUACACUCGCCAAUCUGCUCUUCAAAUUCGAGUGGACGCUUCCGGAGGGGACAACGGCGGACGAUGUGAACAUGGAGGAAGAAGGGAGGCUCAUCUUCCACCGCAAGACGCCACUAGUGCUAGUUCCCAAACCAUACCAUCACUGA
rnacentral:rRNA from 1 species